GAUGAACGCUGGCUACAGGCUUAACACAUGCAAGUCGAGGGGAAACGACGGGGAAGCUUGCUUCCCCGGGCGUCGACCGGCGCACGGGUGAGUAACGCGUAUCCAACCUGCCUCUGACUGAGGGAUAACCCGUCGAAAGUCGGCCUAAUACCUCAUGGCAUCGUCUGCGGGCAUCCAACGACGAUUAAAGAUUUCAUCGGUCAGGGAUGGGGAUGCGUCUGAUUAGCUUGUUGGCGGGGUAACGGCCCACCAAGGCGACGAUCAGUAGGGGUUCUGAGAGGAAGGUCCCCCACAUUGGAACUGAGACACGGUCCAAACUCCUACGGGAGGCAGCAGUGAGGAAUAUUCUCAAUGGGCGAGAGCCUGAACCAGCCAAGUAGCGUGCAGGAUGACGGCCCUAUGGGUUGUAAACUGCUUUUAUGCGGGGAUAAAAGUGAGGGACGU
rnacentral:rRNA from 1 species